rnacentral:rRNA from 1 species
CCUACGGGAGGCAGCAGUGGGGAAUAUUGCACAAUGGGGGAAACCCUGAUGCAGCGACGCCGCGUGAGUGAAGAAGUAAUUCGUUAUGUAAAGCUCUAUUAGCAGGGAAGAAAAUGACGGUACCUGGGUCAUGAAGCCCGGCUAACUACGUGCCAGAUGCCGCCGUAAAACGUAAGGGGCAAGGGUUAUCCGGAUUUAAUGGGUGUUAAGGGGGCGUAGAGGGGAGUGCAAGUAUGGAGUGAAAUGCGGAGGUGCAAACCCCGGACUGCUCGGGAAACUGUACGGCUGGAGUGUAGGGGAGGUAAGUGGAAUUCCUGGUGUAGCGGUGAAAUGCGUAGAUAUUAGGAGGAACACCAGUGGCGAAGGCGGCUUACUGGACUGUAACUGACGUUGAGGCUCGAAAGCGUGGGGAGCAAACAGGAUUAGAUACCCGGGUAGUC